GUGAGUGCGCUCGGCCGCUGUCGGCACGACAUUCGCCCACAGAGGAGCUCUGCCUGGGAGAGAGGCCCUUUUCGUGCGCCGGCGUCGACCCCCGUGCCCAUCCGCCUCACUUCUCCCUCGCCGCUCUACCUUCGCCCACGCUGUCCUCUCCUGCUCGCCUCGUCCGCCCGGUCGCUGCGCCGUCGAUCCGCCGCGCCCGUGUCAACCACUUGCUCAUCAUCGUCGGCGGCCGCAGGCGUGCUCCAUGGCGGCGCUAUGCUGUGAGCUUGGUUGAGGUGACCUCCGUCCCUUUUCCCCUUCCCCUCCUAAAGCCAACGGCUGGUACUGCGGUUCGGCUGAUCUCUGGGCGGACGAAUCGGAACAGACGAGAUUGAUUUCGUGCAGCCUGAUUCGGGCCUCUUCUUUCCGUUUCUUUUUCCCCCAGAUGUUUCCUUCCUCAUCUCGCUCUAUUCGCUGGUAGGAUUUGGUUUUCUUUCCUUCUUGCGAUUCCUCUUCUAUUCGCUGGAGAGAUUUCGUUUUUGCUCUUCUUUACUAUCCUAUCUUCGCAUCUUACGCCUGACGUGGUUUCCUUUGAAUUUUGUUUCUUCCUUUCCAGGUCGUCGUCUCGCUGGGAUUGCCGCGUGGGGUUGAGCGGUUGCUUCUGUUGGAUUUCUGCUCGCCUGUACUGCCGCAGGAAGUACGUCCAUAAGGGGAUGCAAGUCUCCAUAAUCUGGCAUAAAUGUAUACGUCAUAGGUGUGGGAAACUCUAUUUGAUAGGGACCAGUACGUACGAUCAAGAAGGCAAGGCAGAAAGCACUCUGUCCAAUAAAAGGAUUCAAGUUCUACUAUCUCUUGUUGAAAGAAGGAAGGAUGUUGGGUACUCUUGGCAGUCCUAUAAGGUCCUUCCGCCUUUUCGGGGAUAGCAGGUUAUUUGCUACUGUGAGCUGUUGUUGGAACUGCACGUGAGUUGUUGCUGGGAGUCCUUGUUUGUCAGGAUGUUCGUCGUCUCCUAUUCCCCUCUGCAUUUGUUGGAGUUGGUUGCUUCCCACUGUCGGUUGUCAUACCAAGCCUACCUGCGUGAGGUGGGCGGCGAUGGUUCCGUCCUUGGAGGCGUGGAGCUUGAUACUGCUGUUGUCCGCGCCGGCCCAUUUUUUUUGGUCUGUUGCGUCAUGUGGUUCACCGUGUCCAUUUGAGGAAUCAGCCUUGCAAGCCAUUCGCUUCUUACAACGUUUGUAUGGGUUUGUGAUCCGUGAUCCUCCGUGUGGUGUUGGGGUUUGAUUUAUCUCUGUGCGGCCGAAUCGGGGUUGGGUUUGAUUGACCUUCUGCUGCUGGAUUCGGAUUUCUUUUUUUCCGAUUGUUUCUUCCCUCUUUUCCGUCAUCUUGCCCUUCCGCCUGGGUCUUCGCUGUCGGGAUUUUGGUUUGAUUUCUUCUUUGCGAUUGUUUACUUUCUCUUCUCCGUCUUCUUCCGCAUGGAUCUGGUUUUAGAUAUUUUUCCACCGAGAUGUUCUUCGUCGUGGGGAUUUCUUCUGCUUCUUUACGUUUCUAUACUCGCUUGCCUUUUCGGUAUGCUAGCACCUUACGACUGACGUGCUUUCUUAUGGAUUUUGUUUCUAUCUUUGUAGGUCACCGCCUUUCUGGUUGCCGCGGCGGAUUGCCGCGGCUGCUUUGGACUGCGGCACAACUAGGUAUCUAAAGGUAUAAUUGCUGCACCCCCAUGGGGCUCUCACAGCGAUCCUUGCUUCGUGGCCGUUGGAUCACCCCAUCAACGCAUCUGGUUCGUUUAUUCUGGGCAGAAGAGACAGAGAAUCCUCUCACUAGCUAUCCCCAUGCAAUGGUCGGUUGUUACCCGCCUCCGGCUGCAUGUGGGCCCCACCUUCGCUGGCCCCGCACGUCAGCCACUGCGGCUGGAAUCUCUUUCGGUUCGCAUUGGCGUCAACCGGUGGAGGUCUCCACCCGUAGGGGUACUUUCGGUAUUUCAGUGCCUGCGUAUAAAACCGAGAUCGACGGAGCGAAACCCUAGCCGCCUUUGCCAAAUCGUUGAGCGCAUCCUCCUCUGCCCGUCCUCCUCCCAGUCCCCGCACGCCUCUCCCCAAAUCCCUCACCUUGCAGCCUCUCCACCCCUCUGCCUCCACCGCGGUCCUCUCUGGAACAGCCGGCACGGGCGACGGGCGGCGUGGCCGACCUCCGGCAGGGGCCGCCGGCGUGGGCAAGGGGCGGCGCGGCCGGGCGGGCGACCUCUGCAGGGGCCAGCGCGGCAGGGCGGCGCGGGCGACCUUCGCCAAGGGCCAGGCGAGAGAGGGCCCUCGUUGGAGACCUACAGGUUUCUCCUAGCACCUCAUUUUUUUCUUGUGUUUUGUUCAUGUAAAGGAACACUUCUUGGUGCUGAUUGUUUGAAUUUUUUCAUUGUAAAGGAAAUAAGUAAAGGUAUUCGUAUUGUAUUUGGAAACAGAAGCAAAUUUUUUCUCCAUUAUUUUUGUACUUAGCCUGAAUUAAUCUACAGAAGGAGCCUGUGUAGGUGAACUG